rnacentral:lncRNA from 1 species
UUCGUAUUUUCAACUGAGGUAUAAAAAAGGAAUCUUCUCCAGAGUCAAGUUUCAGGGACAAUAAAUUUCAUAUUUGUCGAAAACAACAAAAAAGGAAGAAAAAGGACAAAUAAAAAAGGCCAUGGUCUUUAUUCCCCCAAAAAUAAAAAUAUCUUUCCUUUGCCAACAAUCUCACAAAAGCUCAAUGAUACUUUAAAUAAAAUAAAUUUAAGCACUUUAAGGCAAAGUGGCAGACUGAUGAUUUAAAUAUGAUAUAACGAACACCUAUAGAUUUCCCAAUUUAAUAAAACUUGACUUGCAUAGCUAUAGCCAAGAUUGGGGAGCACCAAAGAUUUGGGUUCGACCUUCUACGAUCUUCAUGAGACACUUGCUUAGCCUCAAGGUUGGCUGGGCCGAGCCGUUUGACCAAAUGGCUUCACCCGUAUCAUGCAGCCUGGCCAACUCACUAGUCCACAAGCCCGGUGAUUUUGUCAAUUCUGACACUUCAUAAUCAAAAUUGAAAAUAGCCGGAAGACAUUAAUAUUAUGAUUCUUGAUAUAUUCAGAUAUUCAGUGCUAUAUGCACGUGCGUAGGUGGCUCACGAGUCUUGGGUUGAUAAAUUUGUGAACUACAUCUGUGUGCUAUAAGGAGAAAUCAGACUAUUCAUCACAAGUUUCUUCACACAUUCUAGGAGCUUGCCAGUGGUAUUCCAGGAUCCUGUCUUGAAAUUUUCCCAAAUAGGGCUCCGAAUAGCAGACGAGAUCAGCUCCAAAUCUAUCAACCUGGGUAAAACCAAUGUCGAUUGGAU